CAGCAGCCCGAGUGGUGGUCGUUUUUAUUGGGCCUAGAGCGUCCGUAGCCGGUCUAGUAAAUCCUUGGAUAAAUCGUACAGCUUAACUGUACGGCUCCCGGGGAGACUGCUAGACUUGGGACUGGGAGAGGUCGGAGGUACUCCAGGGGUAGGGGUGAAAUCUUGUAAUCCUUGGGGGACCACCAGUGGCGAAGGCGUCCGACCAGAACGGGUCCGACGGUAAGGGACGAAGCCCUGGGUCGCGAACCGGAUUAGAUACCCGAGUAGUCC
rnacentral:rRNA from 1 species